rnacentral:rRNA from 1 species
UACGGAGGGGGCAAGCGUUGUUCGGAAUCAUUGGGCGUAAAGGGCGCGUAGGCGGCCGGUCAAGUCGGAGGUGAAAUCCCUCGGCUCAACUGAGGAAUUGCCUUCGAUACUGUUCGGCUUGAGUCCUGGAGAGGGUAGCGGAAUUCCCGGUGUAGCGGUGGAAUGCGCAGAUAUCAGGAGGAACACCAAUGGCGAAGGCAGAUCUCUGGGCCGUAACUGACGCUGAGGAGCGAAAGCAUGGGGAGCGAACAGG